rnacentral:tRNA from 1 species
GCCAGAUUAGUGUUGUGGUUUGAGUGUUGGACUAUGACUCUGGAGAUCAGGGUUCAAAUCCCUGCUCAGUCA